rnacentral:lncRNA from 1 species
AAUAUAUUAAGCAAAUACAUCUCAGACUUCUUCAACAAGCAUAACCACUCAAAUAUAUAUAUUUAUAUCCAUACACCUCAAACAGUACAGUUGUACAGGUGUACUACAAAUCUUUGAAAAAAAAUAUAGGAAGACCAAACUAUGUUAACCUAUACAACAAUGCCAGACCAAACUUAGACCAACACAAAAUAUCUUUGAGUCAACUAGGACAACAUGACACAUUUGAGACACACUAACCACCACUCUCACGUGCACAAUAGAUUAAUAGUCAAUUGUUCAACAUUAUAGUCUAUGUAUGGGCUUCAACCUUCAGCCAAUUACAAGCUAGCACCUGUGAGAACAAUGGAGAAGGGGAUGGGAAGCCAUACCAGCCAAGGAAGAUGGUUUUCUGAUAUUAAAAGGAGAGAGAGCAGAGCAAGCCAUUGCCAAGACUUCACACAUCUCCAUUCUUCCCCAAAUAGCCAAACCUGCAGCUUGUCUUCCUCCCACUUUCUUCAUCUUUCUAUCUGCAACCAACAAAGAUCCAAGAACAAUAAGUAGAGAUGGUGACCUGAGAAAUCAUAGUAGAUCAAAGGAGGAAGGCUAGAGCAAGAAAUUAGCCUACUGGACUGGGAUCUGGAAGUAGGAGCAGCACUAGUAGGAACAGCAGAGAAGGCAAAAGAAGAAAGGUGAGUUCUUCUUCUUCUGUCAUUCCUUUAGCACUCACACUCACAAAGAAGCCUAACCCAGAUGCACCCACAAUAUUCCUCACAACUUCUUCAUAGAUGCACACAAAAGCUAAAUCAUCCCAGUAAUAUCAUCUAUCACAGAUCUUAAAAUCAACAUUACAAGAAAGCAUGGAUAAUGCCUUAAUCAAGUAAAAUAAAAUGGAUCAAGUAAACCAACAUCUUGCACAAGAGGAAUUGGUUCAGUACACACACAUGCACAUGAGACUAAAUUAAUUUACUAAAUCUGAGAACUUUAACCAUAAAAAAAAUAUUAGGGAUAGGAACAAGGCAUCACUAACCUGCACAUAUGUUCGAUCUGCUCCAUGGCCACGCACUGGAGCUCUGACCUGCACCAUCCAGCAUCACGGCGGCGCCCAAGCCGGCGACUUCGAUCUGGAGCAGCGGAAUCACAUCCCAACGAGAGCCUCACCUGCAAGCCAAAAUCAGAGGAGGAUUUGAGGGUUAGGGAUGAAUCCAUGGGGGACAUAUGGGGAUUUACAUCAGAGAGAGAGAGAGAGAGAGAGAGAGAGAGAGAGAGAGAUUUGAGGAUCCGGCAGCGGCGGAGCAGCAUCUUUCCCGUCGCUGGCGUGCUGCUCGAUCUGGGCAAGGUGUAGAAGAAACAGAGGAGGGCAUGCGUGUACUACUUGUGUUCUGGCUGCACUAGUACUAGUGUGUGUGUUGAUUCGGUUCAGAAUGGGUAAUAGUACUAGGAGAGAGAAAGAGCCACUUAGCCUAAGCUGAAAUGUCACGGUACACUCCCAGGCUACUAGUACUAAUUAGUUAAUUUGAUGACAUGUGAAUAAUGCUAGUUACACACUACACUGAUAAAUAUAACAUAUCUUGUAUCAAGAUUUUACAAGUUUAAAACCUUGGUGACCGUAGGAUAACCACACUGCACCAACGUAUUUUUAUUUUAGUUAUUCACUCGACUUAGUAUCAGUAUAUAUAUAUUUGCUGAAUUGCAGGAAGCAAACAAGACCCGGAGAAGGAAGCGCCACAGAAGCAAUUUGAGUUCGGGUCUGAGUACGAGAACUCAGGCAAGCUCUCCUUGAUCAUGUUGAGUAGAACUAUUUUUCAAAAACACUAUUCUCCGCUAUCUUAUCAUCAACUUGCAUAAAAUGUUUUGAGAUAAAUUGUGUGGAAUGAGUGUUGGCAAAUAGUUGGGUUAGCUGAUGGAGCAGCUAAUCCAUUUUUUUUAUAAUUAUUUGGUGGAUAGAGGGUGAUCGGGAUGGACACAUUGGAAGGUGGGGCCCUCUACAUAUGGCUAUGAUAUUAAGAUUAAAUAACUUCCACUCGUUUUAUGUGCCGUACUACAACCGUAUCAGCCAUGGUCUCAUCUAAGGCGAGUUGAGCCCAAUACUAAUGCCGGAUGGGUGCAUUAGCAAGCGCUAUAUAUUAAGUGUUGGUGGAGUGCGGGUUCUGAAACCCGACACAACGGCUAGUGACCACUAGCCAGGUGGAGAUAUAAUAUACAAAUGGGAAAAAGCUUAGGUUCUGAACCAUUUCUCGCAACUAAGGAAAUGCAUAUGGCAAUUAUGGUUUCGAGCUCUGUGUGUAAAGUGAUACAAACUCUGCAGAGUUAAAGAAAAACAUGAAUUCAUGCCAGUCUCUUGGAUUGGAGACUACGGGGACCUAUUGGUGGUCUAUCUCGCAAUACGAGUGUUUGAUAGCUUUUAUAAAUUGAAAUAAACUUCUGCAACAAAUGUUUAUUUUUGAAAGUUGUGAGUUGAGGUAUGACUUGUUGAUUUAUAUUGAGCUAUCAUGACUGUUGCAUUCUGCUAUUUGAGCUUGAUGAGUACUUUGUACUCACUCUUGCUAUUAAUCAUCUUUUUCUUAGAGCAAAGCUUGUAUGAGAAUCCUACUGGACCAAGUGAGGAGAGCAAUGGUGAUGGCUACAACUACACAGGGGACCUAGAUGUGGAUCCAUCUAGUGCUAUGUAUGAUCUGGAUGCCACAUAUGGGGGCUGGGAUGAACAAGUAACUUGUGAGCUAGCUAUGUAAUCCAGGAACUAUUUCAUCACUAUAUAUCUAGUACCGUUGUUGGAACUAGCGAACAUGUGAGAAGCCUACUUGAGACUUUUAGCCCCACGUGGCAUGAUAUUGUAAUAUAAGAGACCAUCUCUAGCUAUUUCCAUGUUGCAUAUCUCUAACAUGGAUUAUUAUUUGACAAGACAAUAUUUUGUCCAGAAAUAAUCCAAGGACAGUGUCAUUAUCUAUAAUAAUAAUGACACGGGUCAUCACAGGUGGUAUCAGUGCCAGGUUUUCGAGGGCCACGCAGAUAGUUAGAGACGGUUAGAAUACUUUAGUUGGAACCCAUACUUGCUAUAUUGCACAAGUAAUUAGACCCAGAAUAUAUCAUUGUGGCCAGUAACUUUAGAUGACUACCAUGCUAAUUGGAAGCCUGUUGCAGGAUGGUUUGAAUUAGAAUUCCACCAUCAAGGGUUCGUGGCCAACAUGUCCUACUACUUUGGCAAAUGAUGGAGGAGCUUGGGGCACCAUGUCCACAAUUCUUUGAAGAGAUACCAGAUGAUGGAACACACUCCUACAGACGCGUAGUACUGGUGCUUAGCGGUGUUCCAUCGGACAUGGACUUCUAUGUGGAGCUCUCCACAAUGCAGCGAUCAUCCGAUGACACUCUACCCAUGUAGGAGGUUGCCAAAGAAGCUAUGCAUGGACUGCGAGCACGCUCUGGAGAGAAAUUGCGCACUACCGGAUAUCGUGACUUGCCAGCACUUGAUUCUGGAAGUUUUGGGCAGAACCAUCAGCAAGGACCUAGAGUAGCAAGCCUGGGUGUCGGGUCUUCAUCAGCUCAGCAUGCACCUGCCGCAACAGUUAGCACCACUUCUACCAUGGCCAGGAUUGCUGAUGUGAUGAUGUACCAUACAAUGAAGGAAGAGCUUAUUAGGCGUCAAGAAGCAACCAAAUUCUAGUAUCAAUGCUAUCAGAUGAGCGAACAUGACGGGAUUAUGCUUCAGGAAGCACUAAAUGCUAUGCUGAGGUCCACUUAAUCCUAUAAUAGUACCAAGUGAUGUUGAAGAGGAAGUAGAACCAGAGGAACCGGAAGAACUUGAGGAAGUAGAGAACCCAGAUGAGCCAGUAGUUCCACCCUCACCAGACAUACCACCUACACCACCCCAGCCAUUACCUGAACAUAUAGCUGAACCUGAACCAGCCCUACAGUCUGAUAUAGAGCAGCAACAGCUACCCCACUUCCCUAAUCCACGACUACACCAACCUGACUUUAUCCACCCACACAUGAGUGUCAGCUCGAGGGAGUACAGGGAGGCUGCUACCUAUGCAAGGGUACUUGGGCUUGGCGCAAGUGGCAGCGGCGAAAGUAAUGGAAGUGGCAGCGGUAGCAACAAUGGCGGUGGCAGCGGCAUCGCCUAAUCAAGUUCCAAUCUGCCAAACUCUUCGGCGUGAAACACCUUGGCCAUAGACUAAUCUUUUGGGAUCAGCAGUAGUUAGUGUAGUGGCAGCCUGAAUAUGUGUGUUUAUGUAAGAUAUGCCUGAACUUCAAUGCUAGAGUAUGUCGCCUAUGUACUAGUAGGAACUGAACCCUAUGUGGCGUGUGCUGUAGUUGUAAUGUAGUUAUGCCCUUAACUAAUACUUAUGUGAUGUACUGGUUGUAAUAUAAGUGCUUGUUCCGUAGUAUAUAACUUGUGUGCAUUAGUAGGCUCAUAGUACCUUACUAUUGUGUGCUUUAGUGGUAACACAGAGGAUAACAUAAUCCUAUUAGGCAAAAGUAAAAUGUUUGACAUCAUCUUAUGGGAGACACAAGAGUAAUCGGAGUUGUAUCAUUCUGGUUAGUAAGAGGCAUUUGCCACCAGAAUUAAACUUCAUGUUUGGUUACUGCAAAUUUAAGGAUAGCAUGAUAUUUAUUGAUAUCACUUGCACUUGUGCUUGCUGAUUGAAUCAAUAAUCAUGCAAAGAAGUAACCAACUAACUAGACAAAAAAUGCAGGAUGGAUAACAAUGGCUUGACCGAGCAAGACCUUGUCUUUCGGUUGGGAUCAAGCGCCCAUGAUCAGCAUGGGGGUACUCCAUCUUCAGAAAAUCAAAGUGCUCUACCUGGACCGGUGCAACUUCCAAGCAACCCAGAAGUUGGCAAUGCUGGAACUUCUGGACUUAUGAGUGGAGAAGGCAAUUUGGGAGAUGUCCUUAAGUUCAUGGAUAAUUCUCGAAGGGAGUCCCAAGAGAACCAGAACCACUUCCUCGAAGCAAUACUCACAAGACUAGUUCCUGGAGGAGCAAACCUACCCGGUGCAGGAGUUAGCUUGGGAGAAUUUCUGAAAACUCAGCCACCCACAUUCUCCACUAGAGGCAGAUGACUGGCUGUUAGAAGUAGAACAUAACCUGGAAACCGUAGGGUGCUCAGAUGAAGAGAAGGUGAGAUAUGCAUCACACCAGCUAACUGGACCAGCAGCAGCUUGGUGGAGAAAUUUCAACCUUAACCGAGCAAAUAAUCAGCCUAUCACUUGGGAGGAGUUCAAGGAGAAUUUCCGUCAGACCCAUAUUCCAAAGGGAAAGAUGGAUAUCAAAAAGAGGGAGUUUCGCAAUCUGUCUCAAGGUAGCGGGAGGAUAAACGACUACAUGAACCAAUUUAAUGAUUUGGCAAGGUAUGCUCCAAAUUAUGUGAACACUGAAGCCAAGAAAGUGGAGAAGUUUAUGGAGGGGCUGCAUCCAUUCCUGAAAAUGCACCUCUCAAUUCACGGGAUCACCCAGUUUCAAGACCUUGUCAAUAGGGCCUUCAUACUUGAGAAUGAGCAUGCCAACCUAAGUGAAGAGAUAAGGAAGAAAGCAAGGGUAGAUCCAUGCCCCAUGAUGCAACACCCACGUCUUAUGAUGCAUGGACCAGUGCGUCCUCAUAUGCCACCACCACGGCCUAUUCCUACUCAGCCAAUCUUUGUUCCUAAAUGCGGGAAAUGUUGAAAGGGUCAUGCUACUCGAGAUUGUAUGAUGGGUACAGGAGUUUGCUUCAAUUGCGGGAGACCAGGACACCACAAGAUCAAUUGCAUCUCUCCUCCAGCAAAUCCUACAAGGCCACCUAUGCAGCAGACUCAAGGGCAUCGUCCACUAGUUGGGCAAGGACGAGGCGGACCUAUGAACUAUGCGGCAAGAGGAGCUGGGCGUGGAGGACAAGUAGGAGGACAGCCAAGGCUGAAUUAUGUGGCUGCAGAGCAACUAGGAGAAGCUACAGAUGUUGUCAUCGGUAAACCACUCAUUCCUCCUUCAGUUGGUAUAGUUAUUUUACACCGGUGCCACACACUUAGUUAUUUCCCAAGAAUUCGUGAAUAAGAGCAUGCACACCGUUGGAAAAAAGCUUUAGGAGUUAACUCACCUGGAGGGAAGAUUACAGUAGAGACAACACGCAGAAAUCAACCAAUAAUAAUCCACAACACCAACAUUUUAGCAAACCUGCAUGUCAUAGAGAUGGCAGGGUUAGAAAUAAUCCUCGGGAUGGUUUGGUUAGCUGCCAAUAUAGUGAAAGUAGAUUAUGAACUUAAAGGGGUAUAUAAAAGUAUUACCUAUGAGAGGGGUUCGACGCUUUGGAAUCAAAGGGAAGCUAAGUCCUAGAUAUGUUGGGCCCUUUAAAAUUUUAGAGAAGGGAAAUCUGCUUAUAAGUUGGAAUUACCACACACCUAUCAAGGACUCACAAUGUCUUCCACAUAUCUCAACUUAAGAAAUGCAACAAGCCACCACCACAUUUGUCAGACUAGGAGGAUUGAUCUAGAGACAGACCUGACCUAUGAAGAGCGCCCAUUGAAGAUAUUAGAAGUUGAAGACCGCAAGCUCAGGACAAGGACCAUGCGGUUCUACAAGGUUCAAUGGAAGAAUCACUUCGUUCGCGAGGCUACGUGGGAGAAGGAGGAAGACAUACGAGUUACCUACCGCAAUCUUUUUAAGUAAGUUUUCGAUUUCGAGGACGAAAUAUUUUUCUGAGGGUAGGAUGUAACGACCUGUAUUUUCACAUAGUGGUUCCACCCUUAACUAGAUAAUUAAGUAGAAUAUAUUAAGCAAAUACAUCUCAGACUUCUUCAACAAGCAUAACCACUAAAAUAUAUACAUUUAUAUCCAUACACCUCAAACAGUACAGUUGUACAGGUGUACUACAAAUCUUUGAAAAAAAUAUAGGAAGACCAAACUAUGUUAACCUAUACAACAAUGCCAGACCAAACUUAGACCAACACAAAAUAUCUUUGAGUCAACUAGGACAAC